UACAGAGGGUGCGAGCGUUAAUCGGAAUUACUGGGCGUAAAGCGUGCGUAGGUGGAUUGGUAAGUAAGGAGUGAAAUCCCAGGGCUUAACCCUGGAACUGCUCUUUAGACUGCCUGUCUGGAAUUCGGAAGAGGUUGGUGGAACUCCCAGUGUAGAGGUGAAAUUCGCAGAUAUUGGGAAGAACACCGGUGGCGAAGGCGACCAACUGGUCCGACAUUGACACUGAGGCACGAAAGCGUGGGUAGCAAACAGG
rnacentral:rRNA from 1 species